GACAGAGGGUGCAAACGUUGUUCGGAAUUAUUGGGCGUAAAGAGCUCGUAGGCGGUGUGUCGCGUCGGCCGUGAAAACCUGCAGCUUAACUGUGGGCUUGCGGUCGAUACGGGCAUCACUGGAGUUCGGCAGGGGAGACUGGAAUUCCUGGUGUAGCGGUGAAAUGCGCAGAUAUCAGGAAGAACACCGGUGGCGAAGGCGGGUCUCUGGGCCGAUACUGACGCUGAGGAGCGAAAGCGUGGGGAGCGAACAGG
rnacentral:rRNA from 1 species